UGCUACCCGCUGACGAGCGGCGGACGGGUGAGUAAUGCAUGGGAAUCUGCCCGGUAGUGGGGGAUAACUCGGGGAAACCCGAGCUAAUACCGCAUACGUCCUACGGGAGAAAGCAGGGGAUCUUCGGACCUUGCGCUAUCGGAUGAGCCCAUGUCGGAUUAGCUUGUUGGUGAGGUAACGGCUCACCAAGGCGACGAUCCGUAGCUGGUCUGAGAGGAUGAUCAGCCACACCGGGACUGAGACACGGCCCGGACUCCUACGGGAGGCAGCAGUGGGGAAUAUUGGACAAUGGGGGGAACCCUGAUCCAGCCAUGCCGCGUGUGUGAAGAAGGCCUUCGGGUUGUAAAGCACUUUCAGUGGGGAAGAAGGCAUGAUGAUUAAUACUCGUCAUGAAGGACAUCACCCACAGAAGAAGCACCGGCUAACUCCGUGCCAGCAGCCGCGGUAAUACGGAGGGUGCAAGCGUUAAUCGGAAUUACUGGGCGUAAAGGGCGCGUAGGCGGCUUGCCAAGCCGGAUGUGAAAGCCCCGGGCUCAACCCGGGAACGGCAUUCGGAACUGGCAGGCUAGAGUGCAGGAGAGGAAGGUGGAAUUCCCGGUGUAGCGGUGAAAUGCGUAGAGAUCGGGAGGAAUACCAGUGGCGAAGGCGGCCUUCUGGACUGACACUGACGCUGAGGCGCGAAAGCGUGGGUAGCAAACAGGAUUAGAUACCCUGGUAGUCCACGCCGUAAACGAUGUCGACCAGCCGUUGGACCCCUUGAGGGUUUGGUGGCGCAGUUAACGCAAUAAGUCGACCGCCUGGGGAGUACGGCCGCAAGGCUAAAACUCAAAUGAAUUGACGGGGGCCCGCACAAGCGGUGGAGCAUGUGGUUUAAUUCGAUGCAACGCGAAGAACCUUACCUGCUCUUGACAUCCUGCGAA
rnacentral:rRNA from 1 species